GCCCCCGUAGCUCAAAUGGAUAGAGCACGGCUCUCCUAAGGCCGCCGUGGCCGUUCGAUUCGGCCCGGGGGCG
rnacentral:tRNA from 1 species